GAUCCGUGGCUACAGAACGAACGCUGGCGGCAUGCCUAACACAUGCAAGUCGAACGAGACCUUCGGGUCUAGUGGCGCACGGGUGCGUAACGCGUGGGAAUCUGCCCCUUGGUUCGGAAUAACUUCGGGAAACUGAAGCUAAUACCGGAUAAUGACGUAAGUCCAAAGAUUUAUCGCCAAGGGAUGAGCCCGCGUAGGAUUAGCUAGUUGGUGGGGUAAAGGCUCACCAAGGCGACGAUCCUUAGCUGGUCUGAGAGGAUGAUCAGCCACACUGGGACUGAGACACGGCCCAGACUCCUACGGGAGGCAGCAGUGGGGGAAUAUUGGACAAUGGGCGAAAGCCUGAUCCAGCAAUGCCGCGUGAGUGAUGAAGGCCUUAGGGUUGUAAAGCUCUUUUACCCGGGAAGAUAAUGACUGUACCGGGAGAAUAAGCCCCGGCUAACUCCGUG
rnacentral:rRNA from 1 species